CCUCCCAGCCCAGCAAGGACCAGCCAGCGGCUGCUUGCGUUUCUGGAAACCUGUCCAGAGAAUGCGUGUCGUGUGUCUGUAGCUGAAACGUGAGGAAGAGCAGCUGAACAGCGAAGAGGUCUGUCUCCUGAGGCUCCAGAGUAAAUGGUAAACUCGCAAGUUAAAGACGCCUCGUGAGUCUGAGUUGAGGGCAGUUGACACGUCGAUUGAGCAGCAGAGACAAGACGGUGCUCGAUGCUGGGAACAGAACAACUAAUUAAUCCCGGAGGACAUGCUCUCCAGCUCCACCAAGGAGUACAAUUUAGCUCCAACUGCCGUUACUCCGCAGUUAUCACUGAGAUACAUUAAGGUGGGAAUUCCAGCAACAUUAUGCAGAUGCCCCUGCGAGGAAGUAUGACCCAGCCAAAGCAGUUCAGCCAAGGCCACUCUGCAUUCUGGAGUCUGUCACAGCCUCAAGGAAGAGAAGAGCCUUUCAAGGAUGGUCUACAUCAAUGUACAAGUAAAUACCAAGAUGUAGGCUGACUAACAAGUGAAGUCAUUUAGUUAAAGAGCAUGACGUUUGGUAAGUUAAGAAAUCAUCUCUCUGGGGCUUCCCUGGUGGCACAGUGGUUAAGAAUCCGCCUGCCAAUGCAGGGGGCACGGGUUCGAGCCAUGGUCCGGGAAGAUCCCACGUGCCAUGGAGCAACUAAGCCCGUGCACCACGACUACUGAGCCUGCGCUCUAGAGCCCGCGCUCUAGAGCCCGCGAGCCACAGCUACUGAGCCCGCAUGCCACAACUACUGAAGCUGCACGCCUAGAGCCCAUGCUCGGCAAAAAAGAAGCCACCACAAUGAGAAGCCCACGCACCGCAACGAAGAGUAGCCCCCGCUCGCUGCAACUAGAGAAAGCCCGCACGCAGCAACAAAGACCCAAU